GCGGCGGACGGGUGAGUAACGCGUGGGCAACCUACCCUUUAGCCCGGGAUAACUUCCGGAAACGGGAGCUAAUCCCGGAUGCGGAGUGAUGGACGCAUGUUCAUUGCUCGAAAGCUGCGGCGCUAAAGGAUGGGCCCGCGUCCCAUUAGCUUGUUGGUGAGGUAACGGCUCACCAAGGCGACGAUGGGUAGCCGGCCUGAGAGGGUGGACGGCCACACUGGGACUGAGACACGGCCCAGACUCCUACGGGAGGCAGCAGUAGGGAAUCUUGCGCAAUGGGCGGAAGCCUGACGCAGCGACGCCGCGUGAGGGACGAAGGCCUUCGGGUCGUGAACCUCUGUCCUUGGGGACGAUGAUGACGGUACCCAAGGAGGAAGCCCCGGCUAACUACGUGCCAGCAGCCGCGGUAAUACGUAGGGGGCGAGCGUUGUCCGGAAUUACUGGGCGUAAAGGGUGCGUAGGCGGCCUCGCAAGUCCUGUGUGAAAUGCCACG
rnacentral:rRNA from 1 species